rnacentral:rRNA from 1 species
GUCUCCUGUUAAAUCCAGCGAUCCAAUCGCUGGACUGCAGGAGAUACUGCUAGGCUAGGGGGCGGGAGAGGCUGGCGGUAUCCCCGAGGGAGGGGCGAAAUCCUGAGAUCUCGGGAGGACCACCAGUGGCGAAGGCGCUCAACUGGAACGCGCCCGACGGUGAGGGACGAAAGCUANGGGAGCAAAGGGGAUUAGAUACCCCCGUAGUCCUAGCUGUAAACGAUGCGGGCUAGGUGUUGGGUUGGCUUCGUGCCAACCCAGUGCCGCAGCGAAGGCGAUAAGCCCGCCGCCUGGGAAGUACGGCCGCAAGGCUGAAACUUAAAGGAAUUGGCGGGGGAGCACCACAAGGGGUGAAGCCUGCGGUUUAAUUGGAGUCAACGCCGGGAAUCUUACCGGGAGCGACAGCAGGAUGAAGGCCAAGCUGACGACUUUGCCAGACAGGCUGAGAGGAGGUGCAUGGCCGUCGCCAGUUCGUGCCGUGAGGUGUCCGGUUAAGUCCGGCAACGAACGAGACCCCCACCCUAUGUUGCUAGGUCCUCUCUACGGAGGGGACCGCACACGUAGGGGACCGCCAGUGUUAAACUGGAGGAAGGAGGGGGCUACGGCAGGUCAGCAUGCCCCGAAUCUCCCGGGCCACACGCGGGCUGCAAUGGCGAGGACAGCGGGUUCCGACCCCGAGAGGGGAAGGCAAUCCCUUAAACCUCGCCGUAGUUGGGAUUGAGGGCUGUAACCCGCCCUCAUGAACAUGGAAUC